rnacentral:rRNA from 1 species
UGUCUUUUUGUGAAUAAUAUAAAGUCUAAUCUGCCCACUGAUUUAAAUUGAAGGGCUGCAGUAUAUUGACUGUACAAAGGUAGCAUAAUCAUUAGUCAUUUAAUUGGUGACUUGUAUGAAGGAUUGGAUGAGAUAUAAUCUGUCUCUUAAUUAUAAAUAGAAUUUAAUUUUUUAAUUAAAAAGUUAAAAUGUAUUAAAAAGACGAGAAGACCCUAUAGAGUUUUAUAAAUUAAGAAAAUUGAGAUUAUUUAUAAGAAUAAAAUUAAAAUUUUUUUAUUUAUUGUGUUGGGGUGACAGAAAAAUAUGAAAAACUUUUUAUAAAUUUAGACAUUGAUAAGUGAUUAAAUGAUCCAAUAUUGUUGAUUAUAAGAAAAAAUUACCUUAGGGAUAACAGCGUAAUUUUUUUUUUUAGUUCAUAUAAGAAAAAGAGUUUGCGACCUCGAUGUUGGAUUAAGAUAAAAUUUAAAUGCAGAAG